GACGAACGCUGGCGGCGUGCUUAACACAUGCAAGUCGAACGAAGUCGCGAACGGGUGAGUAACGCGUAAUCAACCUGCCCUUCAGAGGGGGACAACAGUUGGAAACGACUGCUAAUACCGCAUAUUGUAGGAGGGGAUUGCGUCUGUUUAGCUAGUUGGAGGGGUAACGGCCCACCAAGGCGAGGAUCAGUAGCCGGUCUGGGGGGAUGAACGGCCAAAUUGGGACUGAGGAACGGCCCAGACUCCUACGGGAGGGAGCAGUGGGGAAUCUUACGCAAUGGACGAAAGUCUGACGGAGCAACGCCGCGUGAGUGAUGACGGCCUUCGGGUUGUAAAGCUCUGUUAAUCGGGACGCGGUACCGGAAUAGAAAGCCACGGCUAACUACGUGCCAGCCGCCGCGGUAAUAC
rnacentral:rRNA from 1 species